AUGCUCACGUUGGAAACACAUUUAUUAAAAUUGGAACGAUACAGAGAUGACUAGCAUGGCCCAUGUGCAAGGAUGACAUGCAAAUUCGUGAAGUGUUCCAUUUUUUU